UGACUGCCAGAAGGAGGAUGAGAAAGGAGACCGUGUGCCACCAAUCUCUGCGAUUUUUCAGUGUGGAAAGCUGCAGAUUUCCCUGGACCAAGAAUCAAGUGUGACUCUUGUUUUUCCAACCAUGAUGAAUUUAAAGAAGUAUCUAGGCCAGAGGCAAGGUUUCCUGGCAACCAGGAUGUCAUCUAAUUCACUGUGGAAUGGAAAAUCACCUUAAAGUUCUGAGUUUCCUGCCUUCAUCUCCAAAGUUCUGUGUUGCAUACUCUGUUUCUGAAAUGCUGGGUUAGAAUCCAGGGCCUCAUUCCUCAGAUCCAGGAACUCUCAUGUCUUUAGGUCUAAGGAGUCUACAAUACCUCUAUCGGGGCUCUUUGGGAAAUGGACAACUGAUCAAGUAUUGCACACAAAUAGCAGCCUUUCAGAGAAAACAGGGUGACUCCCCCGAUUCUACAUCGCUGUUCCAGCACA